UAAUAGCUAUUCCAAAUGAGGUGAGGUGGUAACUCGCUGUGGUUUUGAUUUGCAUUUCCACAAUGAUUCGGGAUGUUGAGUAUUUUUCAUGCACAUAUUAGCCAUUUGUAUGUCUUCUUUUGAGAAAUGUCUAAUCAUAUAUUUUGCUCAUUUUUAAAUCAAAUAUCUGUUGUUUGGCUAUUGAUUUUUUUGAGUUCCUUACAUAUUCUGAAUACUAACGCAUUGUCAGAUUCAGUUUGUGCAUAUUUUCUUUCAUUUUGUAGGUAGUCUCUUCGCUCUGUUGAUUGUUUUCUUUGCUCUGCAGAAGCUUUUUCGUUUGAUGUAAUCUCACUUGUCUAUUUUUACUUUGAUUGUGUUUUUGAGGUCUUAUUCAAAAAAUCUUUGCCCAAAUCAAUGUCAUGAAGCAUUCACCCUACAUUUUCUUCUAAUAGUUUUAAUAUUUUGAGUCUUACAUUUAAGUCUUUAAUCCAUUGAAAUGCUGAUGAGGAUGUGAAGAAAGGGGAAAUCUUAUACAUUGCUGGCAGGAAUGUAAAUUAGUACAGCCAUUAUGGAUAACAGUAGGGAAGUUCCUUUAAAAAGUAAAAUAACAUGGGACUACCAUAUGAUCCAACAAUACUACUACUGGGUAUAUAUCAAAGAAAAUAAAAUCAAUAUGCCAAAGAAAUAUCUCCACUCUCAGGUUUACUGCAGCGCUAUUCACAACAGCUUAGACAUGGAAUCAACACCUAAGUGUUCAUCAAUAGAUGAAUGGAUUUUUAAAAUGUGGCACAUAUACACAAUGGAAUACUAUUCAGCCAUAAAAAGAAAUGAAAACCUGUCAUUUGUGACAACAUGGAUGAAACUUAUAGACAAUGUUAAGUGAAUUAAGCCAAGCACAGAAGGACAAAUACUGCAUGAUCUCACUCCUACUGGAAAUUUUUAAAAAAUUGAUUUUUAGAAGGAGAAUAGUAAUUGCUACAGGCAGGGGAGGUAUGAGAAUAUUUUCCAUAGGGGGGAUUCCACAGUUAUUUAGUUUUUUAAUUUAAAGGACAGUGACUGUGCUGUGAUCUUGAGUGAAGAGUUUAUUCACAAAUCACUCAAUGAAAGCACAUCAGUUUGAUUGCUUGGAUUAUAAAGUACACCUCUAUUCCAAGUGGCUUAAACAAUAAAGGGGAAUCAUUGGCUCCUGUAACUUGAAGUUACAGUGGUUCAGUAAUGUCAUCAAGGACUCAAUUUCUUUCAGACUCUCUGUUGUGCCAUACAAAAAUCUGGCUUCACGCUACAUCUGGCUUCCCUGUAAGUGCUAAUAUGGCUGCCAGCAGUUGGGCAACAUGGUACAUUCCCAUCCAGCAGCACAGAGGACAUCAAAUAAAUAUCUGACUUUCCUACUAAUUGAAACACUGUGAACAGGUCCCUGUGUUCAGGGGAGUGUCAUGUUAUGACUGGUCAAGACUUAAGCUACGUGAAAUAUUGUGGAAAGAGAGAUAGGAUAGCCCUUAUUGAUUUAAACAACAGGGAGCCUACCUUUUGUGACAGAAGUGAAACUAAUAUCACCCUAAUCAAAGCUGAUACAGCAUGGGAAAGAAUGGAAUGGGUGCUGAAAAGAAGAUGAAAAUAAAGAAAUAAAAUUCACCAGUGCCAGGAUGUCUUCAUUCGGUCUACUCAUAUCUAGAAAGCAGACUCAGCAGACUCCAGUUUUCAUCCUCACAAGUGGCAGACAGGAUGAAGAUCACUAGCAUCUGAGUCCUCCUUGGAAUGAAUGGGCUCUACCACUGUUGUGGAGCUGUCAGUUAUGAUGGUAUAGGAUUGAGCUAUAUUAGGAGAAAGUAGAGAUAAAGUAAAACAGAGUAUUUUAGAGCUGCUAAAAGUUCUGAUUAUGGCCACAGAACAGAAAAACAGGUUUCAACAGGUGAAUUUUCAAAGCAGUUUGGAAAAGAAGGCAACCUCCAUUAAUCACUGGAUAUCUCUGAUUGCUUUUGAAGACCUCUCAUUUUAAAAACAUUAAUAUUCAUCCAAGAAUAUGAGAGCACAAUUGUUAAGUUGUAGCUUAGGAUUUUUCUUUUGGAGAUAGAAGUAUAUCUUGCAAGUGUGAUUACAGUUGGCUACAAAAUUUGCUUAAGCACAAAGAGAAUAGAAAAUGAAUAUAUCAAUAAUAUUUUGUAACAAUAAAAAGAAAAAUAGUAAUGGUAAAUGCUCACAUUUAACCGAGUACUUGCUGUGUAGUAGCAAAGAAAUUUACAUGUGUUUACAUAUUUGAUCCCAUAAUUCUAUGAAGCAACUGAGAUAUAGAGAACUUAAACACCUUACUUAGACUCCGGGCCAGCAAGCAAAAAGCAUAGCUGAGAGAUGCUCGCAGGCACUCUGACUUUAACACUCAUCCUCAUAAGUAUUCAUCUCUGUCUAGGAAGUCAUGUAAGAUCUUUUUCAUUAGUUGUUACAAAAUGUAUACGUAAACUGAUGAGAUUUGACUGAAAAUAUGUUUCUAUAUUCAUCAUCUUUUUUGAUCCUUCCUGUAACCCCGAAAACUUAGAUUUUAUAGGAUUGGCACAAAAUAUGGGAGGCUGAACACAGCUAAUUAACAUAGAUCACAUAUACUGGGGUUCUGGAAAAGAUCCACAUACUGAGUUUAUUUCACAGGAAUCUAGGCCCCAAGCUAUAAUAGCAUAAUUUAAUUACAUACCGUCUUCAGAGAUAUCUCCCCAAAUUUACAAAUGAGUUGCACAUUUACUGAAACCAAAAGAAUGGGAAGAAAAUGUAAGAUAAGCUAGAAUAGGGUGGGAGUAGAAUGAGAAGCAAAUUCAGGAAGCUGAAAAAAGAUAUUAAAAUAAUCACUAAAAGAAGGAUAUAGGCUUGAAUAAGGUGCUGACUCCAACUGCACUUCCUAAUAAACUCCUAGCAUUUUAAUCUCUUUCUCAGAGUUGGCUUUCACAGAAUCCAACCUGCAACACAUACCUAGAAGAAAAAGAUUAAUUGAGAAAAACAUGGCCAGGCACCGGUGGCUCAUGCCUGUAAUCCCCACACUUUGGGAGGCCAAGGCAGGAAGAUCACCUGAAGUCAGGAGUUCAAGACCAGCCUGGUCAACAUGUUGAAACCCCAUCUCCACUAAGAAUACAAAAAAUUAGCCAGGUGUGGUGGCACGUGCCUAUAAUUCCAGCUACUUGUGAGGCUGAGGCUGGAGAAUUGCUUGAACCCAGGAGGCAGAGGUUGCAGUGAGCCAAGAAAAGCAUAUAUACAUUUAAGUAAACAAAAACAUAAUAAUACAUAAAUUGUAGCUACUUGAUUCUAUUAGCUUUUCAAUUUAUGAUGUGCAUCAUACUAAAUAUUUUUCCUGUUAACACUAAAUGCUUUACAUAUUAAUACUAAACACCUUAAUUGCAUUACUUCUGAGCUUUUGUAUGUGCAUUAUACUGGACCAUUUAGUUGCAUUACCUUACUUAACCCACAUAGCAACCUUAUACGUAGGCAUCAUUAUUUAUCAGGUUUACAGAUGAAGAAAAUUAAUGCUUAGGAAGUUGAAACAACUUGUUCAAGAUCAAAUAGCCAGUAAGUGGCAGAAUCAAGAGUAAAACCAAUUAAGUUUAAUUGCAAACCCACUUAUUUCACCACUUCUAUAGGUACUAUCCCAGAUCUCAAAUCAGAAGCAGAAUCUACAAUUCUGCUUUUUUCUUUUUUUUUUUUUUCUUGGAAAGCAGGCUUUCUCCAAUUGCAAGCCCAGAAUCUACAAUUUUCCUUCUGAUUUGAGAAAUGAACCUAUAACAUGGAUACUUCCUGUGCUACAUUCCUUUCUUAAGUUGUUGGCUGAAAGUCCAGAGUUGAUUAGAACAAUUCUGGUCACACAUCUGACCAGUGGCAGAAGAUACUUGCUAAUAAGUUUUCAUAUGCUAGUCUAUUAUUUGGGUUCUUGAGCACUUUGCUUGUUUGAUGAAGAAAAGAUUUUGCAAUACACAGUUCAAUGUGUUGAAUUAUGAGUGGUCACUCUUCAGAGAGUUAAAGUUUUAGAGACAGAGAAUAUUAUUGGUUGAAGACAUAUAAAUAAAUGAUUAAUGUUGGGAGAAUACAUUGAUCAAGUUAAUCACAAGUGAAAAGAGACAAAAUUUUCUCCUUAACAUUUUCAGAUACCACUCAAGCUAAUUUUGAAAAGUUCUCAGAAAAUAUGCAUAAGGUUUGUAUGUCUGAGCAAUGUAAUCAAGAUUUAAUCAAUAAAAAUAAGCUUAGACUCAG
rnacentral:lncRNA from 1 species